rnacentral:lncRNA from 1 species
ACGCUUCUUCCAGCUGUGGAGGCACUAACAAUGGACGCUCAGAAAGAUGUUCAACCACCAAAGCAGCAGCCAAUGAUAUAUAUUUGUGGAGAGUGUCACACCGAAAAUGAGAUAAAGUCCAGGGAUCCCAUCAGAUGCAGAGAAUGUGGAUACAGAAUAAUGUACAAGAAAAGGACUAAAAGAUUGGUGGUUUUUGAUGCUCGAUGAAAUGUGGGAGUUCAGAAGUAUCUUCAUUCAUACAUUUGCCUCAUUGAUGUUUCUCUUUAAUGUAUAGCAUUUGGCUUAGUUUACUUAAUGAAAACAACUGUAUGCCUAUGAUUUCAUUUAGAAAUACAAUUGUAUUUUAAUACUUUGUAUAAAGGAAAUUUUGGUUCAAUAUAUGGCUUAAUUUAUUGCUUUUGUAAUCCGUCACACAGUGAAGAUUAAAAGUGUUUCCUC